rnacentral:rRNA from 1 species
GCCCUUGAGUUUGAUCCUGGCUCAGGAUGAACGCUAGCGGGAGGCUUAACACAUGCAAGUCGAGGGGCAGCACGGGAUAGCAAUAUUCUGGUGGCGUCCGGCGCACGGGUGAGUAACACGUAUGCAACCUACCUCGUACAGGGGGAUAACCCGGAGAAAUUCGGACUAAUAUCCCAUAAUGAUAUUGAGAGGCAUCUUUUAAUAUUUAAAGCUCAGGCGGUACGGGAUGGGCAUGCGGAACAUUAGCUAGUUGGCAGGGUAACGGCCUACCAAGGCUGCGAUGUUUAGGGGACCUGAGAGGGUUAUCCCCCACACUGGUACUGAGACACGGACCAGACUCCUACGGGAGGCAGCAGUGAGGAAUAUUGGUCAAUGGGCGCAAGCCUGAACCAGCCAUCCCGCGUGAAGGAAGAAGGCGCUAUGCGUUGUAAACUUCUUUUCCAGGGGGAGAAUUUUUCCGUCGUGACGGGAAUUGACGGUACUCUGGGAAUAAGCAUCGGCUAACUCCGUGCCAGCAGCCGCGGUAAUACGGAGGAUGCGAGCGUUAUCCGGAUUUAUUGGGUUUAAAGGGCGCGUAGGCGGAUAGAUAAGUCAGUGGUGAAAUUCUGCAGCUUAACUGUAGACUUGCCGUUGAUACUGUCAGUCUUGAGUAUGGUCAAGGCAGGCGGAAUGUGUAAUGUAGCGGUGAAUGCUUAGAUAUUACACAGAACACCGAUUGCGAAGGCAGCUUGCUG